rnacentral:rRNA from 1 species
GAUGAACGCUGGCGGCGUGCUUAACACAUGCAAGUCGAACGAAGCACAUUAUUUGAAUUCUUCGGAAGGAAGAUAAUGCGACUGAGUGGCGGACGGGUGAGUAACGCGUGGGUAACCUGCCAUGUACAGGGGGACAACAGUUGGAAACGGCUGCUAAUACCGCAUAAGCGCACGAGAUUGCAUGAUCUAGUGUGAAAAACUCCGGUGGUAUAUGAUGGACCCGCGUCUGAUUAGCUAGUUGGUAAGGUAACGGCUUACCAAGGCGACGAUCAGUAGCCGACCUGAGAGGGUGACCGGCCACAUUGGGACUGAGACACGGCCCAGACUCCUACGGGAGGCAGCAGUGGGGAAUAUUGCACAAUGGGCGAAAGCCUGAUGCAGCGACGCCGCGUGAACGAAGAAGUAUUUCGGUAUGUAAAGUUCUAUCAGCAGGGAAGAAAAAAUGACGUAC